CAAGCAUGGCUUUGUUUUCGAGUUAUUUAUGUAUGCAGAUUUCAGCCUUCUGGGUGAGCUUUCCUGCCGCUGAGUAUCACAGAUUGUUCCAACACUCACUUUCAUCAUUUCCUUCACGAGGAAAGAGGCCCACGAAGGUUAAAUGACUUAUAUGAGGUCACAAAGUCACUUGGAGACAAAAUCAGCAGUAGGAUCUCGGUUUCCAGCCCAGUGCAAUUUCUGCUCUAUCCCGCUGACCUCAUUGUUGAGAAACCCUACGUUGAUGUCAGAAUGCUGGACACCGCAAAGCUCUGGGAAGCAUCUUAUAACAACGGCUCAACCAUUUCCUCUUCAAAUGUACUGCUUAAUCACAUAAGUUCCUGAUACGGUUUGGCUGUGUCCGCACUCAAAUCUCAUGCUGAAUUGCAGUUCCCAUUAUCCCUAUGUGUCCUGGGAAGGACCCGGAGGGAGGUAGUUGAAUCAAGGGGGCGGUUACCCUCAUGCGGUUCUCGUGAUAGCAAGUGAGUUCUCACGAGAUCUGAUGGUUUUAUAGAGGCUUUCCCCUCCUUCCCUCUGCACUUCUCGCUGCUGCCACGUCGCAAAGGAAGUGUUUUCUUCUCCUUCCGCCAUGAUUAUAAAUUUCCUGAGGCCUCCCCAGCCCUGCGGAACUGUGAGUCAAUUAAAUCUUUUUCUUUAUAAAUUACCCAAUCGUAGGUAUGUCCUUAUAGCAGUGUGAGAACCGACUAAUACAGUUCCUUAGGAAGCCCCUGCUGGGUAUGGAUGGGGAGUGAAGCAAGGUGGGCCCAGAAGCUGCCGCUGGCUGAGAGACCAUGAAGAAAGUGUAUAGAAUCUCCACCAUCACCAGAGGAAGAGAGCUUGGCAGGAAAGUUACUUCCAUGAAUGGAUGAGUUGAAGUGAACAGCGUCUUGGGCAAAACUGAAGGGUAGUUAGUCGGGUUUGUCUCUGGUGGGCUUUCAGCUCCACUCCCUGCAUCCCAUUCCCACAUCGUGAUGGUCCCCUCAUAGGCCCAGGGCUACCACCUUGGAGCAUAGGUGGGGAUCCUCCAGCCAGGGUCCUUCCUUCACAGGGAGUCAGAGCCCUCUGCUCCGGAAUUGCCCUGCCCCAGGUCGGCCAUCUAUCAAAAGCCCCACUAUCCCCUAAAGACCCACCCUCAAGCAGCAGAUGUGCAGCAAGGGAGCCGCAAAUGUCAUUCCUGUGACCCCGAAGCAGUCUAGUGUGUUACCUCUCUCAGGGCUGCUAUGGGCUGAAUUGCUUUUCCCCAAAAUUUCUAUGCUGCUUCCCUAACCCCCAGCGCCUCAGAAUCUAACUCUGGAUAGGACCUGUGAAUAAGUGAUUAAGUUAAAAUGGGGUCCUGUGGAUGGGCCCUAACCCAAUCUGACUGGUGUCCUUUUAAGAAGAGGAAGAGACACCAGAGAUGUGCACACUCAGAGACAAGACACAUGAGGACACAGAGACAAGGCGGCUACCUGCAAGCCAGGGAGAGGGGCCUCGGGGAAGCCAACCCUGCCUACGCCUUGAUCUUGGACUUCCAGCCUCCAGAACUCCAGAAUCUGAGUGAAAUGGGUAUAAAUCAUGAGCUAGGAUACAGUUCAAUUAUUCCUAUGAUGAAAAGAUUUUGGUGUUUGUGGGAAUUCUUGGAACCAAUUCCCUGUGGGUACCGAGGAGCACCUGUACAUGUCACAUGUUGCGUAUUCAUUCAUCGGUGGGUGGACACUGCAGCAGUCUCCAUCCCUUGCCUACUGUGAAUAACGCUGAGCUUUCUCCGCAUGUGGGACUCUCGGCCUCAUUAUGAGUGGCAUCUUUGACAAUCCAGGGCCCAUUAAAAACACCUUGAAGAAAGCAUUCACCAUGCUGUGGAGCUUCACAGUCUAUACCAGGCUGGAAUCCUUGAGGGUGGCAUUAUCAAAUGAGGAAAUGGUUCCUUUCAUUUUUCAUCUGAAGACUCAGACAGCAAACAUGUUAUCUGGCCCUAUAAGCACCCCGAUGCUUCUGUGAAACCCAAGCAAGUUCUGCAUCACCACGACAGCCGCGGAUGUCAAAUCAUCAAAACAGCAGCAGAGGAAGGGGUUUAUUCCUCCUCCAAAUCUUCAGCUGGUUUUAUAGGGUUACCAGUUUAAAGUUUCUUUGUUUUCAGAGCAUCAGACCUCCCAUUUGUAGCUGAUAGCCAUUUUUCAAAGGUUUCUGGCUCACCCAGGAAUUCAUUAGGGUGGACGAGAAAAGAACAGUGGAUAGAAUAGACCAGCAGGGCAAUCUAAGCCCCAUUCCCUGUCUCUUUACAUUGGUUCUUGGUCCCCGUGACUCAUCCAAACUCCCUUAUAUUCCUAUCUGGAAUGCGAAAGCUGGAAAUACAAGUGCUCUGUAAUCACAGGCAGUGGUUUUCUUGGAGUCUGGUGUGAUUUCUGUAGCUUGCAGCAAUAUGUGGGACACACUUGCACUGAAGAAUUUAAUGACUUGUUUUACUGCUGUCUGCCAUCAAUAUUUAUCUAUAUUAACUGAAGAAAGGCAUUACUCGAAAUGGCAUUUCACACCUCUGAGCAUUAUACAGUAAUUCUAAAGUCAUACGUUGUACCAAAUUCUCUGGGCAAACACAGAGAUACAGUAUGAAUGGAAAGAAUCCAAGUUGAAGUUUUUAAAACUUGAAUUGUCUGCAGUAAUCUGGAAAACCAAAGUCAAAAUGACUCGAAUUGCUAUGGCUGGGAAUGACUGGAUUAAAAGCAAUGGAAACAAUCGUUUCUCGGCUUGGUUU
rnacentral:lncRNA from 1 species